CCAAGAUUUGCUUUCACCUCUUGUCUGGCUCAAAGGUGGACCCCAUGAACUUCCCUGGGGACAGGAGACCUGAGUAUGGUGGGGUUCAUUUUUCCUCCUGAGCUUGCCUUAGCCCAAGGUCCAGUAGAUGCUGAGCCAUAAUCUUCUGCCUCACAAAGAGCUGGUUACUCCCAGAAAUCAGUUUCCCUUUGCUUCCUGCAUUGCUGCAUCAAUGCAAAGCAUCUAUAAAUCAUCUCCACAAAUGACCAAAGCCGCCUGGUCUUCAUCCGAGGUGAAACAGAGGUUUGGGGGUCCAGGUUAGAACUGUGUGACAGAUUUGGGACCCUCAACCUCUGCCCACCUCUUGCCUGGAGCAGCCCCCUGGCCCUUGUCUCUGCCCUGCACCUGGGCUCAGCUUCCCUCCGAGAAGCAAGACCAGCAUGGCUUCACGUUGUAAUGUGAGAGGGUUCUUGAGGACACAGAGCUCUCUGUGCUGCCAGAAUUACUGCAUGUGCUCCUCCAGAUGUUGAAGAAUAUUCCCUCCCAUCCCAAGUUACCCUGGGUAUUAUAUUUCCCUGGCUUGACAUUGUUAUGAAAUGUCAGAGCUUUGCAACUUGUCUGACUCUCUUUUGCAAUGUCCCCAAGGGAACAGAACAGCUUCCAAAGCACUGGAGCCCUACGGACUCGCACCAUCUUUCCCUCCGGAAGAACCUCAACAUCUCUGCGAGACAGGUCCCUAAGGCACCAUGUUGCACACAGUCCAGCUCUCCUGUUGCCAGGGUUCCAGCUGCCAGACAGUGGCAAAAGAAGGGUAAUUGAUACCAGUGUGGCAUUUUGGGGUCUUUUUCCUCCCUCUACAGAGGAAGUCUCUGCUUCUUGUCUCAUCUGGCAUGAAGAUACAGAUCUGAAAUUGGCCUGAUUCUGGCCUCUGUUGCUGGUGGCAGUGGGGAUCUUGAACUGCCAGCGUGGACCUUGCCACACUGAGCUGCAUCCAAGUGCUUUGAAGGGACUUCCAGUGGGGAUCUUGAACUGCCGGCGUGGACCUUGCCACACUGAGCUGCAUCCAAGUGCUUUGAAGGGACUUUUGCAGUGGACAACACCAGAAAGGAGGCUAAAAGAACCCCAGCUGUUGAGGGUAGUGCUCCUGGGAGGGGAUAGACUGGCCUCAUAGGAAAUGGAGACAUAAAGGAGACACUGUCCUGCUGCAGGCACUUGCCAGCACCCAGCUGCUGUCCCUCUUCUGCAGAGCUUCAAGAAACUCCUCUAAAUGGUUUUGGCUACACCAAAAAAAAGGUGUUUAAAAUGAAAAAUGUAACAGGAAUGAUAAUGCUAGUCUGAAAAAUGGGAAGGUAAUAAAAAACUCUUAAGUUUUCUUGUCUGCCUCAGGUUUGUGGGGCUGAGGAAUCACAGAAUCAUAGAAUGGCCUUAAAAAUCACCUAGUUCCAAUCUCCUUGCCAUGGGUGGGUAUGAAUGGGGAUGUGGUAGUGGUCCUGCUUGCCUGACCCUGCCCAGCUGAGCUCCCACACCCCAGCUCAGCUCCAGGGGCAGCUGCAGGUGUUUGUACCUCACAGUGCCUCUGUCUCCAGGAAAAAACUCUGCUGGUCAAGGUCUUUCUGCCUUGCUAAAGACUUCAUACCCUGGGGGUUUUAAAGAGUGGUUUGUACCAUAGAGGAAAUCCCACAAGUGAGACCUCCUUGCAAAGCCUGGACCCUGUGC
rnacentral:lncRNA from 12 species